UUUUUUGUUGUUGUGCGAAAUCA
rnacentral:siRNA from 1 species